GACGAACGCUGGCGGCGUGCUUAACACAUGCAAGUCGAACGAAGUGGCGAACGGGUGAGUAACGCGUAAUAAACCUGCCCUUCAGAGGGGGACAACAGUUGGAAACGACUGCUAAUACCGCAUACUGAAGGAGGGGAUUGCGUCUGAUUAGCUCGUUGGCGGGGGAAAGGCCAACCAAGGCGAUGAUCAGUAGCCGGGCUGGAGGGAUGAACGGCCAAAUUGGGACGGGGAAACGGCCCAGACUCCUACGGGAGGCAGCAGGGGGGAAUCUUCCGCAAUGGACGAAAGUCUGACGGAGCAACGCCGCGUGAGUGAUGACGGCCUUCGGGUUGUAAAGCUCUGUUAAUCGGGACGCGGUACCGGAAUAGAAAGCCACGGCUAACUACGUGCCAGCCGCCGCGGUAAUAC
rnacentral:rRNA from 1 species